GACGAACGCUGGCGGCGUGCUUAACACAUGCAAGUCGAACGGUGAAGCGCCUUCCUUUUUGGUGGGUGUGGAUGAGUGGCGAACGGGUGAGUAACACGUGAGUAACCUGCCCCCUUCUUCUGGAUAACCGCAUGAAAGUGUGGCUAAUACGGGAUAUUCUGGGUCUGUCGCAUGAUGGGUCUGGGAAAGAUAUUGUUUCGGUGGGGGAUGGGCUCGCGGCCUAUCAGCUUGUUGGUGGGGUGAUGGCCUACCAAGGCGGUGACGGGUAGCCGGCCUGAGAGGGUGGCCGGUCCAGCGGGGACGGAGACACGGCCAGACUCCUACGGGAGGCAGCAGUGGGGAAUAUUGCACAAUGGGCGCAAGCCUGAUGCAGCGCCGCCGCGUGAGGGAUGGAGGCCUUCGGGUUGUGAACCUCUUUCGCCAGUGAAGCAGGCCUGCCUCGUUUGUGGGUGGGUUGACGGUAGCUGGAUAAGAAGCGCCGGCUAACUACGUG
rnacentral:rRNA from 1 species